UAGUGGCAGACGGGUGAGUAAUGCAUAGGAAUCUACCUAGUAGUAUGGGAUAGCCACUAGAAAUGGUGGGUAAUACUGUAUAAUCCCUGCGGGGGAAAGAUUUAUCGCUAUUAGAUGAGCCUAUGUCAGAUUAGCUAGUUGGUGGGUAAUGGCCUACCAAGGCGGUGAUCUGUAGCUGGUCUGAGAGGAUGAUCAGCCACACUGGAACUGAGACACGGUCCAGACCCCUACGGGAGGCAGCAGUGGGGAAUAUUGGACAAUGGGCGCAAGCCUGAUCCAGCUAUGCCGCGUGAGUGAGGAAGGCCUUAGGGUUGUAAAACUCUUUCAGUAGGGAAGAUAAUG
rnacentral:rRNA from 1 species